UUCCUGUAUGAAUUUAAGUUUAGACUAAUCGCUUCUCUCUGUGUUUUCAACAUCUAAGGACCAUGAACAUUGUCGAGGUGUCUCUAAAGAUGGACUCUUCUCAGGGCCUCCUGGCUGUGAUGCUCCUCAUCCUCACAAGGGCCCAUGGAGACUCAGUAACUCAGACGCAAGGUCAAGUCGUCCUCUCAGAAAAGGACAUUCUUACUAUACACUGCAACUAUUCAGCCGCAGGGGACCCGGCUCUGUUCUGGUAUGUGCAGUAUCCCGGAGAAGGUCUACAGCUCCUCUUUAGAGUCUUAAGGGCCAACGAGAAGGGAAGCAACAGAGGUUUCGAAGCUACGUAUGAUAAAGAAACCACGUCCUUCCACUUGCAGAAAGCCUCAGUGCAAGCGUCGGACUCGGCCGUGUACUACUGUGCUCUGAAUGACACAGUGGCAGAAACCACAGAGGGAGCUGAGCACAAACUCUGAGAAGCAGAGGCCUAACCGCUGAGCCUCUGGGAUUGAUCUGGUUCCUCUUUGUGCUGUGUGCCUCUCGGUUUCUCUGGUUGGCACAAAAAUUACACGAAUCGCCUCAAGAGAAAGAACAAGAAGUAGACACUUUCACCCUGGUCUUGACUGGGACUAAACCAAAAUCCGAUGCAAAAAUACCUCGUGCAGAGGGAAAGGAGCCUCACAGUAAAGCUCUGUGAAUAAGGAA